rnacentral:rRNA from 1 species
UACGGAGGGGGUUAGCGUUGUUCGGAAUCAUUGGGCGUAAAGCGUCUGUAGGUUGUUUAAUAAGUCUGUUGUUAAAGACUAGAGCUCAACCCUAGAAAAGCAAUGGAAACUACUAGACUUGAGUAUGGCAGGGGUAGAGGGAAUUUCUAGUGUAGCGGUGAAAUGCGUAGAUAUUAGAAAGAACACCAGCGGCGAAAGCGCUCUACUGGACCAUUACUGACACUCAGAGACGAAAGCUAGGGUAGCAAAAGGGAUUAGAUACCCCUGUAGUCCUAGCCGUAAACGAUGGAUACUAGAUGUUGUGUUUAAUAUGCAGUAUCGUAGCUAACGCGUUAAGUAUCCCGCCUGGGGAGUACGCUCGCAAGGGUG